rnacentral:rRNA from 1 species
AACCCAGCCAUCAUAAGAUGGUUAUCUUGUACUGAAUACAUAGGUGCAAGAGGCGAACCAGGGGAACUGAAACAUCUAAGUACCCUGAGGAAAAGAAAUCAACCGAGAUUCCCUUAGUAGUGGCGAGCGAACGGGGACUAGCCCUUAAGUGGCUUUGAGAUUAGCGGAACGCUCUGGAAAGUGCGGCCAUAGUGGGUGAUAGCCCUGUACGCGAAAAUCUCUUAGUCAUGAAAUCGAGUAGGACGGAGCACGAGAAACUUUGUCUGAAUAUGGGGGGACCAUCCUCCAAGGCUAAAUACUACUGACUGACCGAUAGUGAACUAGUACCGUGAGGGAAAGGCGAAAAGAACCCCGGAGAGGGGAGUGAAAUAGAUCCUGAAACCGUAUGCGUACAAGCAGUGGGAGCCUACUUUGUUAGGUGACUGCGUACCUUUUGUAUAAUGGGUCAGCGACUUAUUUUCAGUGGCGAGCUUAACCGAAUAGGGGAGGCGUAGCGAAAGCGAGUCUUAAUAGGGCGUCUAGUCGCUGGGAAUAGACCCGAAACCGGGCGAUCUAUCCAUGGGCAGGUUGAAGGUUGGGUAACACUAACUGGAGGACCGAACCGACUACCGUUGAAAAGUUAGCGGAUGACCUGUGGAUCGGAGUGAAAGGCUAAUCAAGCUCGGAGAUAGCUGGUUCUCCUCGAAAGCUAUUUAGGUAGCGCCUCAUGUAUCACUGUAGGGGGUAGAGCACUGUUUCGGCUAGGGGGUCAUCCCGACUUACCAAACCGAUGCAAACUCCGAAUACCUACAAGUGCCGAGCAUGGGAGACACACGGCGGGUGCUAACGUCCGUCGUGAAAAGGGAAACAACCCAGACCGUCAGCUAAGGUCCCAAAGUUAUGGUUAAGUGGGAAACGAUGUGGGAAGGCUUAGACAGCUAGGAGGUUGGCUUAGAAGCAGCCACCCUUUAAAGAAAGCGUAAUAGCUCACUAGUCGAGUCGGCCUGCGCGGAAGAUGUAACGGGGCUCAAACCAUACACCGAAGCUACGGGUAUCACGUAAGUGAUGCGGUAGAGGAGCGUUCUGUAAGCCUGUGAAGGUGAGUUGAGAAGCUUGCUGGAGGUAUCAGAAGUGCGAAUGCUGACAUGAGUAACGACAAUGGGUGUGAAAAACACCCACGCCGAAAGACCAAGGUUUCCUGCGCAACGUUAAUCGACGCAGGGUUAGUCGGUCCCUAAGGCGAGGCUGAAAAGCGUAGUCGAUGGAAAACAGGUUAAUAUUCCUGUACUUCUGGUUAUUGCGAUGGAGGGACGGAGAAGGCUAGGCCAGCUUGGCGUUGGUUGUCCAAGUUUAAGGUGGUAGGCUGAGAUCUUAGGUAAAUCCGGGAUCUUAAGGCCGAGAGCUGAUGACGAGUUACCUUUUAGGUGACGAAGUGGUUGAUGCCAUGCUUCCAAGAAAAGCUUCUAAGCUUCAG